rnacentral:rRNA from 1 species
AAUAUUGGACAAUGGGGGGAACCCUGAUCCAGCCAUGCCGCGUGUGUGAAGAAGGUCNNNGGAUUNUCAAGCACUUUAAGUUGNGAGNAAGAGUUGUAGGCUAAUACCUUGCAAUUUUGACGUUACCAACAGAAUAAGCACCGGCUAACUUCGUUCCAGCAGCCGCGGUAAUACGUAGGGUGCGAGCGUUAAUCGGAAUUACUGGGCGUAAAGCGUGCGCAGGCGGCGCUGUAAGACAGAUGUGAAAUCCCCGGGCUUAACCUGGGAACUGCAUUUGUGACUGCAGUGCUAGAGUGUGUCAGAGGGGGGUGGAAUUCCACGUGUAGCAGUGAAAUGCGUAGAGAUGUGGAGGAACACCGAUGGCGAAGGCAGCCCCCUGGGAUAACACUGACGCUCAGGCACGAAAGCGUGGGGAGCAAACAGG